UACGGAGGGUGCAAGCGUUGCUCGGAAUCACUGGGCGUAAAGGGCGCGUAGGCGGGAUGGCAAGUCAGUCGUGAAACCUCUAGGCUCAACCUAGAGCCUGCAGGCGAAACUGCCGUGCUUGAGGGUGGGAGAGGUGCGUGGAAUUCCCGGUGUAGCGGUGAAAUGCGUAGAUAUCUGGAGGAAUACCGGUGGCGAAGGCGGCAUCCUGGACCGAGAUUGACACUGACGAGCGAAAGCUAGGGGAGCAAACGGG
rnacentral:rRNA from 1 species